GUGCUUCCUUCAGCAGCAUAUAAACUAAAAGUGGAACAAUACAGACAAGAUUGGCAUGGCCUUUGUACAAGGGUGACAUGCAAAUUAGUGAAGCAUUUCAUAUUUUU
ensembl:snRNA U6 U6 spliceosomal RNA